GACGAACCGUGCGAACGUUGUUCGGAAUCACUGGGCUUAAAGGGCGCGUAGGCGGCUUGCCAAGUCGGGGGUGAAAUACUUCAGCUUAACUGGAGAAGUGCCUUCGAUACUGGCGGGCUUGAGGGAGGUAGGGGUCUUUGGAACUUCUGGUGGAGCGGUGAAAUGCGUUGAUAUCAGGAGGAACACCGGUGGCGAAGGCGGCUAUCUGGACAGAGUCUGACGCUGAGGCGCGAAAGCUAGGGGAGCAAACAGG
rnacentral:rRNA from 1 species